GCCGCGCUGAGGGGAGCCUGAGCGACGGCGGCAGCCGGGUAAGGGCUCCGGCGUGGUGAGGGGAACCAGAGAGGCCGAGGCGGAGCGCCACGGUCUGCGGGCUAUCGGUGGCUCGCUCCUUCCGUGGUGUGGUUAAAAUUGUGGUGUCAGCCAACCAGACAUUGUUCUGAAAUUCGGCCUCCUGUGCUCAAGCGACAAGAACAUCUUUCCUCAAGGAACUCCCCUGAAGUAAGGCAACUCCUGACAACCGCGUGCAGCUACAGCCUGAAAUGGCAGCAAAUGAUUACUUAUGAUGCCCUUGGACAUCUGUAUCUCAAAUAAAACUUGAUUUCAAUGGACUGUCAUCCCUUAAAAAUGAAAAUAUAAGUGUUUGAGUGAAAUAAACAUUUGCCAAGACCACCAGUGCAACGCAUUCAUAAAGUUACAGCUCAAGUGGCAAAGCUAUUUCAAGAGCAUAAGGACAUAUGAAAUGAGGAUCUGAAAUAACCCGUGUCAUUAAUCCUAACAAGUGCACUUAUCAGCAUUCACUUCAUUAUCUGACAUUAACUCAAGAUUGUUCUGUGACAUUUAGUCUUUUUUAGUCUGUGGCAAUUUUAAUUGGAGUCAACUUAUAACAAGUUAUGUCCAUUGUCCAAUCUGUUAAGCACAGCAUGCACCACUUCAAACUUCCAUCAAGAAUGUCGAAAUAUAUGAUACUGAAAUACGUAUUAAGAGUUCCCUAAAGAAGCACAAAUACUGUUAAAAAUACUUACUUUAUUAUAUAUAGUAUAGGGAAGAAAGGUCUCUGUUCUCUCAGCCAAGAAAUGAAAGCUGUUAUUCUGAUGGAUUCUGCAGUGUCAAGUUCUGGGAGAUGUGUCUAAGAGGCAAAGGGAAUCAUUAAUACAUAGAGGACAGUUUUCAGGAGAACAGUGAAAGGACUCUAUCCUCACUGAGUAUAAAGGAAACCCAGACAGACAGUAUUUGUUUAGUUUCAUUUGAAAGGGCCUGAGACAGUCACUAAAAUAGUAUAGCAAUAUAGUAAAUAGCAAUUAGCUGUCAGAAUAGUGAUGACUGAGCUGUGAUCAAUACCUAUUGCAGAAACCAAAGGAUUUCCCACUCACCCACUGUGCUUACUAUUGGCAAGUAUUCUCAGUCUGCUCCCACAAGUCUGGGAAACUUACUCACUGCCAGCCUCUUCUUAUCGCACUUUCCUGGGAAUAGCUACAAAAGUUCAGCCUGGAAACACUCCAAGAGAGGCAACAAAAAUGAUGUAUUUCCCUGAAUCUGGAUUUAUAGUGAAUGAUAACUAAAGAGCUAAUAUUUGAAUAGAGGUAUAGAAGUUCUCAUGAAAAUAAUACUUUGGUAGCACUGUAUCACUGAUGUACAGCAAAGCAAGCACAUACCAUAUUCUGUGGUAUUGAGCCA